rnacentral:rRNA from 1 species
AUUGAACGCUGGCGGCAGGCCUAACACAUGCAAGUCGAGCGAGCGGGGGACGGGUGAGUAAUGUAUGGGGACUGCCCGCGAGAGGGGGAUAACUACUGGAAACGGUGGCUACUACCACAUACUAUCGGAUAACCCAUAUGGGAUUAGCUAGUAGGUGGGGUAAAGGCUCACCUCGGCGACGAUCUCUAGCUGGUCUGAGAGGAUGAUCAGCCACACUGGGACUGAGACACGGUCCAGACUCCUACGGAGGCAGCAGUGGGGAAUAUUGGACAAUGGGCGAAAGCCUGAUGAAGCCAUGCCGCUUGUAUGAAGAAGGCCUUAGGGUGGUAAAGUACUUUAAGCGGGGAGGCGUUACCAGCAGAAGAAGCACCGGCUAACUCCGUGCCAGCAGCCGCGGUAAUAC